rnacentral:rRNA from 1 species
GACGAACGCUGGCGGCGUGCUUAACACAUGCAAGUCGAACGGAAAGGCCCUGCUUUUGUGGGGUGCUCGAGUGGCGAACGGGUGAGUAACACGUGAGUAACCUGCCCUUGACUUUCGGAUAACUUCAGGAAACUGGGGCUAAUACCGGAUAGGAGCUCCUGCUGCAUGGUGGGGGUUGGAAAGUUUCGGCGGUUGGGGAUGGACUCGCGGCUUAUCAGCUUGUUGGUGGGGUAGUGGCUUACCAAGGCUUUGACGGGUAGCCGGCCUGAGAGGGUGACCGGCCACAUUGCGACUGAGAUACGGACCAGACUGCUACGGGAGGCAGCAGUGGGGAAUAUUGCACAGUGGGCGGAAGCCUGAUACAGCAACGCCGCGUGCGGGAUGACGGCCUUUGGGUUGUAAACCGCUUUCGCCUGUGACGAAGCGUGAGUGACGGUAAUGGGUAAAGAAGCACCGGCUAACUACGUG